rnacentral:rRNA from 1 species
CAGUCGCCGCGGGAAUACGGAGGGGGCUAGCGUUGUUCGGAAUUACUGGGCGUAAAGCGCACGUAGGCGGCUUUGUAAGUCAGAGGUGAAAGCCUGGAGCUCAACUCCAGAAUUGCCUUUGAGACUGCAUCGCUUGAACGUCGGAGAGGUGAGUGGAAUUCCGAGUGUAGAGGUGAAAUUCGUAGAUAUUCGGAAGAACACCAGUGGCGAAGGCGGCUCACUGGACGACUGUUGACGCUGAGGUGCGAAAGCGUGGGGAGCAAACAGGAUUAGAUACCCCAGUAGUCCCUGUCUCUUAUAC